AUGCUUGUGUGAUGACUGUAGCCAUGUGAACGGGUUAUCGUACGGCAAAACUCAUCACGUAAAGAAAAGUCUUCAACUUUUCAAGAAAGGAAUGCCUUGUUUUGAUAUCAACACAAAGCUCGGAACAGGAAGCAAUGAUCAACAACAUUGGUGGUCCAGGAACGCUUAAUUACUUUUUGUCAACACUGUAUGUUCCAAUGAUCAAUUGAACUUAAAGAAAAUGGAAAUACAUGCGGGAAGGACGUACAUUCAUCAAGUUUCAACUAUCUCCUUUAUAGCAGACAGGCUUAUAAGAUGGAAACGAAUGAUACAUUGUAUGCUGAUUACCUGUGCAGGAGGAAAAUGAAACCAGACAGAUUAUGAACUCAAAUUCAACCCGUAAAAAAAGCUAGGAAUUUG